AUCCAGCUAACGAGUCCAAAAUAGGAUGAAAGACGCGUGUCCUGUAU
rfam:Schistosoma mattheei strain Denwood, Zambia genome assembly, scaffold: SMTD_scaffold0008716